rnacentral:rRNA from 1 species
GAUGAACGCUGGCGGCGUGCCUAAUACAUGCAAGUCGAGCGAACGGACGAGAAGCUUGCUUCUCUGAUGUUAGCGGCGGACGGGUGAGUAACACGUGGAUAACCUACCUAUAAGACUGGGAUAACUUCGGGAAACCGGCGAUAAUACCGGAUGAUAUUUUGCACCGCAUGGUUCAAAAGUGAAAGACGGUCUUGCUGUCACUUAUAGAUGGAUCCGCGCUGCAUGAGCUAGUUGGUAAGGUAACGGCUUACCAAGGCAACGAUGCAUAACCGACCGGUGAGGGUGAUCGGCCACACUGGAACUGAGACACGGUCCAGACUCCUACGGGAGGCAGCAGUAGGGAAUCUUCCGCAAUGGGCGAAAGCCUGACGGAGCAACGCCGCGUGAGUGAUGAAGGUCUUCGGAUCGUAAAACUCUGUUAUUAGGGAAGAACAGAUGUGUAAGUAACUGUGCACAUCUUGACGGUACCGAAUCAGAAAGCCACGGCUAACUACGUG